AUCCAGCUGACGAGUCUUAAAUAGAACUAAACGCGCGCCCUAGAU
rnacentral:hammerhead_ribozyme from 2 species